rnacentral:rRNA from 1 species
AACGAACGCUGGCGGCAGGCUUAACACAUGCAAGUCGAGCGCCUCGCAAGAGGAGCGGCAGACGGGUGAGUAACGCGUGGGAACGUACCCUUAUCUUCGGAAUAGCUCUGGGAAACUGGAAGUAAUACCGAAUGUGCCCUUAGGGGGAAAGAUUUAUCGGAUAAGGAUCGGCCCGCGUUGGAUUAGCUAGUUGGUGGGGUAAAGGCCUACCAAGGCGACGAUCCAUAGCUGAUCUGAGAGGAUGAUCAGCCACAUUGGGACUGAGACACGGCCCAAACUCCUGCGGGAGGCAGCAGGGGGAAAUAUUGGACAAGGGCCGAAAGCCUGAUCCAGCCAUGCCGGGUGAGUGAUGAAGGCUUUGGGGUUGAAAAGCUCUUUCCCCGGAGAAGAUAAGGAGGGUAUCCGAAGAAGAACCCCCGGCUAACUGCG